AAUUAAACCCGAUUGUAAUGGAAAGCCUCCGCUUUUGCGGAGCUUGGAACGGAAAGCGGGGCAGGAC
rnacentral:sRNA from 1 species